rnacentral:lncRNA from 10 species
GAAGUUCGUUCAACAGACAUUUAUUGUGCUCCUGCUUAUGCAAGAGGCACACCAGUACAUGCGGUUCUGGGGGUACACAUGGUGAGGAAAAGAGACACGGUACCUGCCCUGGUGGAAUUUACGCUUUACUAGUGAAAGAACGCAUACUGGGGGACAAGUAAGAGACAGAACACCGUGAGAGCAGCUUGAACUAGAGGGAGAAUCUGUUAAACAAUCCUGCAAGGUCAACGUGGUAUUCUGUUUUCCAGAUAAGGAAACUGAAGGUAGGGAGGUUUAAGUAACUUAUCCAAGACCACGCAAGUGAGCUUCAAAUGCACUUGGUGUGAUUUCAAAUCCCAUAUCCUUGUACUACAGAGAUAAGAACAAAAUGAUGAAUAAUAUGUUCUUAAAAAAAACCUGAAACAUGAAUAUAGAAAAGAUGUAUCAUUACAUUUACACACACUCACACACACACACUCACACCCACACAUCCCCUUUAUCUUCCUUUCCACUCACCCAUGCACAUAUACCCUAGUGAAAUAAAACCCGACCCACCUUACUUUUCAGGAAACACAGUCUGGAAAAUAUUUGUCAGGACAUGGCCAAUGGCUUAGCUGUAAUCCCUAUAUGGGCCUAUUCAAACUAGUUAAUUCUUUCCUGGGGAAAACCAUUCUGUAAUUGCAGACCUUGUCUCUUAACUUAGCAGAGCCUCUGACAGGUGGAUGCCAUUUACAGGGUCCCAGAGCUGUGAAAAGCCAGUCUGACUGUCUGUUUUAGAACUCUUAAGUUCAGGUAAGCAAUUUUGUAAAUUAAUGUC